AGAGUUUGAUCCUGGCUCAGGACGAACGCUGGCGGCACGCUUAACACAUGCAAGUCGAACGAGAGAAGAGGAGCUUGCUUUUCUGAUCUAGUGGCGGACGGGUGAGUAACACGUGAGCAAUCUGCCUUUCAGAGGGGGAUACCGAUUGGAAACGAUCGUUAAUACCGCAUAACAUAAUUGAACCGCAUGAUUUGAUUAUCAAAGAUUUAUCGCUGAAAGAUGAGCUCGCGUCUGAUUAGCUAGUUGGUAAGGUAACGGCUUACCAAGGCGACGAUCAGUAGCCGGACUGAGAGGUUGAUCGGCCACAUUGGGACUGAGACACGGCCCAGACUCCUACGGGAGGCAGCAGUGGGGAAUAUUGCACAAUGGAGGAAACUCUGAUGCAGCGAUGCCGCGUGAGGGAAGAAGGUUUUAGGAUUGUAAACCUCUGUCUUCAGGGACGAAAAAAGACGGUACCUGAGGAGGAAGCUCCGGCUAACUACGUGCCAGCAGCCGCGGUAAUACGUAGGGAGCGAGCGUUGUCCGGAAUUACUGGGUGUAAAGGGAGCGUAGGCGGGAUCGCAAGUCAGAUGUGAAAACUAUGGGCUUAACCCAUAAACUGCAUUUGAAACUGUGGUUCUUGAGUGAAGUAGAGGUAAGCGGAAUUCCUAGUGUAGCGGUGAAAUGCGUAGAUAUUAGGAGGAACAUCAGUGGCGAAGGCGGCUUACUGGGCUUUAACUGACGCUGAGGCUCGAAAGCGUGGGGAGCAAACAGGAUUAGAUACCCUGGUAGUCCACGCCGUAAACGAUGAUUACUAGGUGUGGGGGGACUGACCCCUUCCGUGCCGCAGCAAACGCAAUAAGUAAUCCACCUGGGGAGUACGACCGCAAGGUUGAAACUCAAAGGAAUUGACGGGGGCCCGCACAAGCAGUGGAGUAUGUGGAUUAAUUCGAAGCAACGCGAAGAACCUUACCAGGUCUUGACAUCGUAUGCAUAGCUCAGAGAUGAGUGAAAUCUCUUCGGAGACAUAUAGACAGGUGGUGCAUGGUUGUCGUCAGCUCGUGUCGUGAGAUGUUGGGUUAAGUCCCGCAACGAGCGCAAUCCUUACUGUUAGUUGCUACGCAAGAGCACUCUAGCAGGAUUGCCGUUGACAAAACGGAGGAAGGUGGGGAUGACGUCAAAUCAUCAUGCCCCUUAUGACCUGGGCCUCACACGUACUACAAUGGCUGUCAACAGAGGGAAGCAAAGCCGCGAGGUGGAGCGAACCCCUAAAAGCAGUCUUAGUUCGGAUUGUAGGCUGCAACCCGCCUACAUGAAGUCGGAAUUGCUAGUAAUCGCAGAUCAGCAUGCUGCGGUGAAUACGUUCCCGGGCCUUGUACACACCGCCCGUCACGCCAUGGGAGUCGGUAACACCCGAAGCCUGUAGUCUAACCGCAAGGAGGGCGCAGUCGAAGGUGGGAUUGAUGACUGGGGUGAAGUCGUAACAAGGUA
rnacentral:rRNA from 1 species